rnacentral:sRNA from 1 species
CUCUCCUCCAUUUUGCGCUUCAGCUCCAGCACACGCUCAUCCUGGGAGGGUGUCGCCAGGCUUGUCGCCUGGGCCUUCUUUUCCUCCCACCUGGACCACAACACCACAACAGCACUAGCUUAGAAGAAGACUGAGUAACGCCCAGGAAGGGCCAGCCGUUCUCGAAGUUCCACAACAGACAUCUCACCUUCCAGACCAUAUCCUGGGAUCUUCCAAAUGAUAGGAGAGACCUCAGAGCUGGCAGCUGCACAAGCCACUUGCCCUUAAUGUCCAAGAAGACUUUUCCUCUGCUUCAGUCUGCCUGUGAAGCCCACAUCAGCAGCUCCAGCCUAGAGCCCUUCAGUAGAACUGGACUUCUCAACUGGAUACACCUUGCCCUUUGUGUCUAGGUGAGACCCAGCAGUCAAUUUGAAGAGUCUCCCAGACCUGCCCUCAUGUUCCUGUGAACCUAGCUCUUCUCUGCUUUCUCAUGCAGGCUGCCGCCUCCUCCACCUCUCUUCUUAGCCCUUGGCUUUUUCUGGCUCUGGACUUUUAUACACUUGGGUGCACCUUGCUCUCAUCUGGAGAGUUCAGGGACCUUACCCUUCUACAUGCAGCUCCCCAAAUGUCUACCUCCAUGCAGUUUAGCUCUCUCCCCUUCAGAGAUCCAUCUCUGAUAGGUAGCUCUUUCCUCAAUAAAAACAUUCCAUCCUGCAGGUAAGAGGGAGGCUCCUAGGACUCAGGAAGCAAAGGAAACUUACAAGGCUUAGAAGCUUAGGAAGUUAUAGGAUUCACAAGGCCUGGGGGUGGGCUGGGCUAUGGUUAUAUAGCAAAGAUGCUUGCUGGAAAGAGAAAAUUCUUGGGCAAGUGCUGUAUGGUAAUUUCCUCUAAAGGCAAGCAACCAGUCCAGGAGGUAUGUGAGGGGAGGCUCGUGAGAA